UAUACGCGUGCAGGGUGCGCUGACACAGCGCAGAACGCACACAAUCUUCUUUGCCAAAGCGCACAAUGCCUACCAUCUCGUCCUCUUCAAAACGCGCCAGCGCGUCCGCGAGACCGGAAGGCACCCCAGCGGGCAAGUCGCACUGGGUAAUAUCGCCGUUAACAAUGACUGUGACGUUUUCGCCCAGUCGGGUC
rfam:Pantoea vagans C9-1, complete genome.